rnacentral:rRNA from 1 species
GACGAACGCUGGCGGCGUGCCUAAUACAUGCAAGUCGAGCGGAAGUUGGAGAGCUUGCUCUUCAACUUUAGCGGCGGACGGGUGAGUAACACGUGGGCAACCUGCCCUGCAGAUCGGGAUAACUCCGGGAAACCGGUGCUAAUACCGAAUAGUUUUCGCCACCUCCUGGUGGCGUACGGAAAGACGGUUUCGGCUGUCACUGCAGGAUGGGCCCGCGGCGCAUUAGCUAGUUGGUGGGGUAACGGCCCACCAAGGCGACGAUGCGUAGCCGACCUGAGAGGGUGAUCGGCCACACUGGGACUGAGACACGGCCCAGACUCCUACGGGAGGCAGCAGUAGGGAAUCUUCCGCAAUGGACGAAAGUCUGACGGAGCAACGCCGCGUGAGUGACGAGGGUUUUCGGAUCGUAAAACUCUGUUGUGAGGGAAGAACAAGUACCAACUAACUACUGGUACCUUGACGGUACCUCACCAGAAAGCCACGGCUAACUACGUGCCAGCAGCCGCCGCAGUAA